UAAUACGGAGGGAGCUAGCGUUGUUCGGAAUUACUGGGCGUAAAGCGUACGUAGGCGGCUGUUCAAGUCAGAGGUGAAAGCCCGGGGCUCAACCCCGGAACUGCCUUUGAAACUAGACAGCUUGAAUCCAGGAGAGGUGAGUGGAAUUCCGAGUGUAGAGGUGAAAUUCGUAGAUAUUCGGAAGAACACCAGUGGCGAAGGCGGCUCACUGGACUGGUAUUGACGCUGAGGUACGAAAGCGUGGGGAGCAAACAGGAUUAGAUACCCUGGUAGUCCACGCCGUAAACGAUGAUAACUAGCUGUCUGGGCUCUGAGAGCUUAGGUGGCGCAGCUAACGCAUUAAGUUAUCCGCCUGGGGAGUACGGUCGCAAGAUUA
rnacentral:rRNA from 1 species